GACGAACGCUGGCGGCAUGCCUAACACAUGCAAGUCGAGCGAGCAGAUCCCUUCGGGGUGAAGCUAGCGGCGGACGGGUGAGUAACACGUGGGCAACCUGCCUCAUAGAGGGGAAUAGCCUUCCGAAAGGAAGAUUAAUACCGCAUAAGAUUGUGGCUUCGCAUGAAGCAGCAAUUAAAGGAGCAAUCCGCUAUGAGAUGGGCCCGCGGCGCAUUAGCUAGUUGGUGAGGUAACGGCUCACCAAGGCGACGAUGCGUAGCCGACCUGAGAGGGUGAGCGGCCACAUUGGGACGGAGACACGGCCCAGACUCUUACGGGAGGCAGCAGUGGGGAAUAUUGCACAAUGGGGGAAACCCUGAUGCAGCAAUGCCGCGUGAGUGAUGACGGCCUUCGGGUUGUAAAGCUCUGUCUUCGGGGACGAUAAUGACGGUACCCGAGGAGGAAGCCACGGCUACCUACGUGCCAGCCGCCGCGGUAA
rnacentral:rRNA from 1 species